UAGCAGUGGACUCUGUCUGAUAUCAAGGA
rnacentral:piRNA from 1 species